rnacentral:tRNA from 1 species
GAUCGUCUAUUUUAAUUAAAAUUUAUGCCUUGAAAGCAUGGGAUAAGGGUUGAGUAUUCUCUUAACGGUCU